GGAGAACAUGUACACAACAUCGUUAUAUCUAGAAAUCUAUUUAUUGAUGCGUGCGGCAAACAUGAAAAGGGUUACAGCGAGAAGGACGUGGGACGUGAAAGGGGCACGUGCUUCUGUUAUCUAGAGUCGACCUUUGACGUGAGCGAUGCAAAACAAAAUCGCAAAGCACAUGCUGUCGGGACUGCCUGGUUUAGAACUGAUAGCGAGGAAAACAGUCGCUGAGGAGGAGGAGGAUUCACGGGGAGAGGAGCGUUAAUGAGGAGAGAGAGAGGAAGAGAGAGGAGUGUUAAUGAGGAGAGAGAGAGGAGUGUUAAUGAGGAGAGAAGAGGAGUGUUAAUGAGGAGAGAGAGAGGAGUGUUAAUGAGGAAGAGAGAGAGGAAGUGUUAAAUGAGGAGAGAGAGAGGAGUGUUAAUGAGGAGAGAGAGAGAAGUGUUAAUGAGGAGAGAGAGAGGAGUGGUUUAAUGAGGAGAGAGAGAGGAGUGUUAAUGAGGAGAGAGAGAGAGGAGUGUUAAUGAGGAGGAGAGAGAGAGGAGUUGUUAAUGAGGAGAGAGAGAGGAGUGUUAAUGAGGAGAGAUAGAGAGGUAUGUUAAUGAGGAGAGAGAGAGAGGAUGUUUAAUGAGGAGAGAGAGAGAGGAGUGUUAAUUGAGGAGAGAGCAGAGAGGAGUGUUAAUGCAGAGAG
ensembl:lncRNA